AUGAAGGAAACAUCUGCAAUGCAGUAAAUAGGAGCCAAUAGGAAAACUGGAGGGUAGAUAUGAGGGGUAAAUACAUUAAAACUUGAAAAACUUGGAAUAAAACUGUGCUGAACAGAUUCACUGGUAACACUAAAACAGACUUUUCCAUUAUCAGCUGUUCCUCAAUAUUGAUGUUAUAACGUAUUGCUUUUGGGUCAUUUUUAGGUUGUCUUAGAUGGGAACCAUGAAGUCCUGGAGAAAGACAAGGCAUGAAGAACAGAGUAGGCCUCUGACUCCAGACACAAAGGCCUUGCAGGAUUACAUUUUGUAGGAAGGCUUGCUCUUUUCCUCAGCUGAAGAAUCUACAUCCCCACAGAACUGAUUUGGAAACUGUUCACUAGUUGUGAUCCAGACAUGCAGCUGAGCUGUUUAGGAGAUGGACAUGAUUUUAAUUCCCAUAUCUCCCUUUA